GCGAGGGUGGCGGAAUAGGCAGACGCGCUAGUUUGAGGGGCUAGUGGCCGAAAGGUCGUGGGGGUUCAAGUCCCCCUCCUCGCACCA
rnacentral:tRNA from 1 species